rnacentral:rRNA from 1 species
UACGAAGGGGGCUAGCGUUGCUCGGAAUCACUGGGCGUAAAGCGCACGUAGGCGGACUCUUAAGUCAGGGGUGAAAUCCUGGAGCUCAACUCCAGAACUGCCUUUGAUACUGGGAGCCUUGAGUUCGGGAGAGGUGAGUGGAACUGCGAGUGUAGAGGUGAAGUUCGUAGAUAUUCGCAAGAACACCAGUGGCGAAGGCGGCUCACUGGCCCGAUACUGACGCUGAGGUGCGAAAGCGUGGGGAGCAAACAGG